rnacentral:rRNA from 1 species
UACGUAGGGUGCGAGCGUUGUCCGGAAUUACUGGGCGUAAAGAGCUCGUAGGUGGUUUGUCGCGUUGUUCGUGAAAUGCCACAGCUUAACUGUGGGCGUGCGGGCGAUACGGGCAGACUGGAGUACUGCAGGGGAGACUGGAAUUCCUGGUGUAGCGGUGAAAUGCGCAGAUAUCAGGAGGAACACCGGUGGCGAAGGCGGGACUCUGGGCCGAUACUGACGCUGAGGAGCGAAAGCGUGGGGAGCGAACAGG